GUGUGGUAACAAGCUCCCUGUCAGUCAAACUCUCCUUAGUUCACGCCGGUAUUCUGUUCAUUCUGGUACAUUUCUGUAGCACUUUAAUCAGCCACAAUUGGGAUUUGAAUCUCCUUCCUGGGCUGUGUUUUGGAUAUUUUCUCAGUAUGUGUUUUACUGUGAAGAAACAGCAGAGGUUCGGUUUUGCUUUCUUGAUUAGGACAUGGAGUUUGCACGUUCUCCCCGUGUUUGCGUGGGUUCUCUCCGGGUUCUCUGGCUUCCUCCCACAGUCCAAAGACGUGCAUUAGGUUGAUUGGACUCUCUCCAUUGCCCGUAGGUGUGAGUGUGUGUGUGAAUGGUUGUCUGUCUAUGUGUUGCCCUGCGAUGGACUGGCGACCCGUCCAGGGUGUACCCUGCCUCUCGCCCAUAGUCAGCUGGGUUAGGCUCCAGCACCCCCGUGACCCCGCAUUAGGGAAUAAGCGGUUUAGAAAAUGGAUGGAUGGAUGGAUGGAUGAUUAGGACAUUUAUACAGGUUGUGACCAUAAUUAAUAAAAAAAUCAUUACAGUUCGUCUAUUUAUAUUAAAUAAAGGUUAAAUAGAUUGUAUAAUCAAUCUUCAAUCAAUCAAUCGUCUAUAGUCAAUCAAUCAAUAAUCAAUCAUUCUUCUAUUAUUAUUUUUCUUCUUUGUCUUCUUCUUCUAUUAUUUUUCUUUCUUUCUUUCUUUCUUUCUUCUUCUUCUUCUUCUUCUUCUUCUUCUUCUUCUUCUUCUUCUUCUUCUUCUUCUUCUUCUUCUUCUUCUUCUUCUUCUUCUUCUUCUUCUUCUUCUUCUAUUAUUAUUAUUUUUCGGCUCCCCAGAUUACAGGGUGUACCUAAAUGCCUCCAGGACAAAUCGUUUGGGUGACACGAAUGGAGUUUUGAAAAAAGUUAUUGGUUCUUUUCAGUUGAGUGGACGCGGUGGAAAAGAAGCCGCCAAGGAGUAAAUACGACUUUUAAUUGGGAGGCUUAUGCAGGUGCGCUCGCCUCUGGACGUGUAGCACCUGCGUCGCAGUCAGGGAGUCGCCUUCAGGUGUUAAGGCCUUCAUACUGUCCUCGUGUGCAGCUGUUGAUGAAGGAGCAUCCUCUGAAUGAUGUGACGGCGCCGCAUCCAGCUGGGUGCAGUAGCUUUCGUGGAUGCAGGCUUGUCAUCUGGACACUGAGGAUCCGGAGUCUUUCCAAGGGGACGGCUGUAAACAUGAUAAAGAACUCUGCACUGUCAGCUCCUACAGAACGAGACAAAGUGCGGAGGGACUCUCGCUUUUCAAUUUCCACCGGCCGUCUCUCACCUCCGCUGCACUCAAUUCAGAGGAAAACAACACCCGCCAAUUUGAUAAUAGACUCACGUGCAGACAAAGCCGCCGAUGUCCAACCUCCAGGUCGUGGAACCAGUGGGGCGCAUUGUGAGCACGCAGCUUCCACAGACACGCCCUCCUCCAACUUUGAGCCCCCGGCAGAUGCUCUGGUGCUGUCGAACAGGCAUUAGUGGCAAUAAUAUAUGAAUAAGGAAUUCUCCACAGAUUGUUGCACGCAGCUGCAGCUUCAUACAGAUUGUGUUUAUGUUAAUUUUCUGUACAUACCACACAUAUAUAAUGGGCUGCUUACUGUCCUCAAGAGAUACUGUACCAGCGGCCAAAGGCACAUUGUUGUUGUGUGUUAGCAAGCGCAGCUGAUAAGUCUGUGCUUUUAUAAUGCAUGGCUGGUUGCCAGUGGCUCUCCAUAUUACUGUUUAAAGCAAUACAGUAGAUUUGAUGAAAUAUGCUUCAUUUCUUUCGCGCCUAUAGGCUGCAAACCUCUCUUGUGCGUCUUCAAUAAGAAUGUGCAAAGUCAUAUUUGUGCAGUGACGGUUGGUGAGUGGGGCUGAAGUAACAGUUAACUGCAUGGCACGUGUGUGACACCAGGAGUCGGAGUAAUGAACACAAUAACGCGGGUGAAACAGUCAGCACAUGAAGCGGAUUAGCGAGCUCGCUUAACAGAUUCUGCAGGAUUUUAUGGAUCAUAAAAUGUGAGUGUUCUACAAUUAUCUGAUUAGCACGAGAUGGGAAGCAGUAGAUUAUGUGGCACACAUGUGGCUGGAAAGGCUCAGUCCAGGCCUGUGGGACAGUAGGUGUAGUUGUAUCGUAUGAAGGGAAGGGUAAUAACAAUAAUAAAACAAUCAUGUUUAUGUUCCAUGACUCUAAUCCAACAGCCAAAGGUGACGCCAGUAAGAAGAGAAAUAAAUAUAAGCAGCAAGUGAAAAGCAAAUGCAGGUGUGGAGGCUAUGGACGUUUAUUUUUAGGAAACAAUGGAGUAGAGCCUCCGCUGUGGCAUUUCACGCUGUAAUGUGAUGAGAUUUUAAUAAGCCCGCAGCAGCCUUUUUUAAAACUAUUGGUCAGAACAAGAAAAUGGGUCAGCGUCUUGUUUCCGAGUGCUCCCAUCCACGGCAGCGGGGUUUUAAUUAGACCGGGUGUCCCCAGGGUGAAGCAACAUUCGCUCCUUUUGGGAUCCUCCAAUGAAGAAUAAUUACUGACCAAAAGUAUCCCGUCAACUUUGGUUAUCGGAGGUUCUGUCUCCCGUGACACAGGCAACUUUUUCAGUAUGGAGAGUGAGCAGUGGCCUCCAUUAACAAACAGAGCGUUACAGCAGAAGUGUGGUUGGAUCAGCCUUGUGGUGGUGGUGCUGCAUCCAGUCAGGCUGACAUGGAACCAUGAAGGCUAAGGUGAGACGAGGACACUUUUAGAGGCAAAACUUGAAACCCUAAAACAGUCGUCCUUAAAUAGACAGAAAGGCCUACACGCUGGCAGACGACCAGAGCGCUGUGACUAAUCAGGCCUGAAGGAAGACGUUAAAAACACAGCGGAGCGGGAGGGGAGGGGAGGCGGCGGUCGCGCCGUUCUCCAGGAAAGGUGACGAGGCGCUUCCUUUCAGGAGGAUCCAAGCUUUUCACCGCGAGCUCUUCCCUCGCAUCAGAAUAAUAACCUGGAUGCAUUUUUCACCGGGUCCGUGCUGCCCUGCAAAAAAAGACGCGUUCAAACAUAAACUAUGUGAAAAGACAACGACGGGGGCACGGGGAGAAGGGGAUGGAGUAGGAAAGAAGGAGAAGCGGGGAGAUGAAGUGAGGAAGAGGAGGAGGAGGAGGAUCCUCCAGCACCUUGGACGCCGCUGCCGCGGGAUUUCAGCAGCACAAGGCCGGAACAAGCUUUAUCCCCAGAGAGAAAAGCCAAAAGCUCUUCUCAACAUGCUCUGAUCUCUAGCUCUCGCUCUUACAUACACACUUAUCUCUUAUCCAUGUAUGUCUCUCUCUCACUCUCGCUCCUACGCACACACACACACACACCAUCGCUAACAGCUGUCUCUCCCCUGGCUGCCACCCUCCUCCACCCUCCACACUUUGUUUCUUAUCAUUUCUCCGCGUGACUGCUCUCUUUGUGGACUGACAUCCCAAAAUAGUUGACAGUAGCUCAAGUGUGUGUGUCCUAUGGCCGGGCGAG